rnacentral:rRNA from 1 species
AUUGAACGCUGGCGGCAGGCCUAACACAUGCAAGUCGUGCGAGCGGCGGACGGGUGAGUAAUGUAUGGGGAUCUGCCUGAUGGAGGGGGAUAACUACUGGAAACGGUAGCUAAUACCACAUACCAACAGAUUAACCCAUAUGGGAUUAGCUUGUAGGGGAGUUAACGGCUCACCUAGGCGACGGUCCCUACCUGGUCUGCGAGGAUGAUCAGCCACACUGGGAGUGAGACCCGGCCCAGAAUCUUACGGGAGGCAGCAGUGGGGAAUAUUGCACAAUGGGCGCAAGCCUGAUGCAGCCAUGCCGCGUGUAUGAAGAAGGCCUGCGGGUGGUAAAGUACUUUCAGUCGGGAGGCGUUACCGACAGAAGAAGCACCGGCUAACUCCGUGCCAGCAGCCGCGGUAAUUC